GGUGGUACAGCUCAGUGGUAAAGCACAUGCUUAGCAUGCACAAGGUCCUGGGUUCAAUCUCCAGUAUCUCCA
rnacentral:tRNA from 1 species